CAGUCGACUUGACCUGAAUUCCGCGCUGCGUCUAUUCAAAAACUGACACCUUCUUAUCAACCCUUAACCAUCGCCAAGUCACAUCCUUUAAGCAAAUGACGCACUCCUUAACCUUUCGUGCCAUUUUCACAGGACACAAGCACGCAAACGCACAAUUCGUGCUUCCCUUCGAACGUUCCUCAUUUUUACCCCGUUCUAGUUAUUAGCCUAGGUCACGAAUUUACUAUUCGAUACUUCGUUCAUGUAAAAAUAACACCGUCGCCGCCAACAUUCUAAACAAUUAUUACUACCUAAGGAGUAGAAAUAAUAACUUGCUUUAUACUAUAAGAACACGAACUUAACAAAAAAUUAAAAUUUUCACACAAUAAAAAAUAUCAAGUUGAAGUAAAAUGAACAUAAAAUGUUCGCUUCUUAAUUUUUUAGAUUGUUUAUCAUCAUCAUUGGAAGUUUCUUGAAAUAAUGGUUGAACAAAUUGUAGAAAAACACUUUUAGUAUUGAUAUGAAUUCGUAGAAUUGUAAGGGAUGCUUGGGAGGUCCGAAUGGUUAGUGUGUGUGAGGGCUUUUAGGGCGAGUGUGAAAGAUGGGAAACAUGUGUUAAAGAUGAAUGCCGAAUGUCUGGAUUUUUAGAAAAUAAGUUAGUCUGUAACUGGCUUUUGUAGAGUAAAGUAAAAUUAAAAGGUCCUGUUGAGAA